GAUGAAGAACGUAGCGAAAUGCGAUAAGUAAUGUGAAUUACAGAAUUCAGUGAAUCAUCGAAUCUUUGAACGCACAUUGCGCCCCCUGGUAUUCCGGGGGGCAUGCCUGUCCGAGCGUCAUUACAACCCUCAAGCUCAGCUUGGUGUUGGGCCCCGCCGCCCCGGCGGGCCCUAAAGUCAGUGGCGGUGCCGUCCGGCUCCGAGCGUAGUAAUUCUUCUCGCUCUGGAGGUCCGGUCGUGUGCUUGCCAGCAACCCCCAAUUUUUUUCAGGUUGACCUCGGAUCAGGUAGGGAUACCCGCUGAACUUAAGCAUAUCAAUAAGCGGAGGA
rnacentral:misc_RNA from 1 species